GGAAAUAUUUACUAUAAAAGAGAAAAAACAACAACAGCAGCGAGCAGCGUAAAGUGCGAAAAUGAAUUGCGCUCAGCAAAAUGCGAAUUAAAUAAUCCAUCACAAUGCGCCAUACAAACUGACGCACAUGUAAACAAACAUAAAACUACAACACAACAGGUUAUACAAUUCAUGGACAAACUUGAAGUGGUCGCAGUCACUGCUGCUGCUGCUGCGAUGAUUCAUCAGCGUCGACGUCAACGUCAGCGUCGUCGUUGUCGACCAUUCACCCAGUCAGACUAUGAUUGUAUGAAACUCACCUCUCGAUGUCGCAGGGAAAGGCAAACGAUGGUAUGCCGGUGAGCACCUCCUUAUCGCGAAAUCCCUCGGGGAAACUCUCGAUAAUAACGCCAGCGGGCGUCGCUGUGCCUCCUCCAUUUCGACUGAUAGUACCACGAUCAAUGCCUCGCGUGGGUUU